rnacentral:rRNA from 1 species
AUUGAACGCUGGCGGCAGGCCUAACACAUGCAAGUCGAACGAGUGGCGGACGGGUGAGUAAUGUCUGGGAAACUGCCCGAUGGAGGGGGAUAACUACUGGAAACGGUAGCUAAUACCGCAUACCAUCGGAUGUGCCCAGAUGGGAUUAGCUUGUAGGUGAGGUAACGGCUCACCUAGGCGACGAUCCCUAGCUGGGCUGAGAGGAUGACCAUGCAAACUGGAAUGGAGAAACGGUCCAGACUCCUACGGGAGGAAGCAGUGGGGAAUAUUGAACAAUGGGCGAAAGCCUGAUGCAGCCAUGCCGGGUGUAUGAAGAAGGCCUUAGGGUUGUAAAGUAAUGUCAGCGGGGAGGCGUUACCCGAAGAAGAAUCACCGGCUAACUCCGUGCCAGCAGACGCGGUAAUAC